CAUAGAUUUAUUAUGAUAAAAUAGGCUUAGCCUAGAAUAUGAAUCAUCGCAUGGUGUGUUAGUGUGCAAUCAAUUUGUGGUAGAUUACAAUUCCACUUCCUAAUAUUACGUUAAGCCCAUUUUACCCGUAAUUAUGAACGAGGCAUUUACCACUUUACUUUCUUAGAAAUUAUUUUAGUAGGCAUGGCAGAGAAAAAGAAACAACGGCAUGAUAUUUUAGCGCUUGACGCUUGGCCGGAGAAAUGGAAAAGAGAGUUUCCAUAUAUUAUACACGAUAAGAAAACAGGAACCGCAAUCUGCACGUAUGUUGAGUUCAUUAUAAGAAAAUCAGACAAUAUGGACCUUUGAUCGAAGAAUUCACAAACAAGGAGGCAGUAGUGAUGGAAUGGCAGAAUCUUCGUCAUGAUCUGCAUAUUCUCCAAAUACCGGCUAUGGAGAACGUAUGCAAGUACUUAGCGGCAGCGCCCGAGUACCCAUGCUUUCAAGUGCUGGGCAAAGUCACAGGAAUAGGCUUAGCAGCAGACACCUAACAAUGCUUCUGAGAUGUGGCGAGGAGACAUCCAUAAAAGCAGACAAAGCGGAAUCAUUCUUCAAGGAUGUCUUGCAACAUUGGAAAGAUUCCAAGCUACGUCGCCACGAACGGGCUGCAGAAGCCACGCCAUCCGUUUUUAUUCGUUCGCUUUUGUAUUUUUAUUUGUGAAUAAAACAAAUGUGUGAACUGUGCAAUUUUAUUACUUGAUAUCGAAGCCUUGUAACUUUCUCUCGUUGAAAACAAGGGUUGACCCCCGGGAUAUUUGGUGGGCCACUCAUGCAAAAUGUAUGUUAUGUUUUGAGAAAAAUACCGUCGUUACUUUUUAAAUAAAAAAUUGAUAAUUAUCCGAUUGGUUCUGGCUCCGCCUGCAAAUCCUUUUAUGCACAGACCUCAUGUAGAAACACCAUGUAACAGUUAUCUGAAACGACGAAACAUUAAUGUAAUCCUAAGGCGAAGUUUGGUAUCGAUCUAUGGCCGGCAGUAACACGAAUGUGCAAGGCUUUGCUGGUCAUUCGAGCAAUUGACUCCGGUGGUUGAUUGCAGGAAAGUUUCGUUCACGACAGGUGUGCCAAGCAGGUGUCCUUUUGUUAGUGAUGAAUUUGCUUCAAAUCGCGACAGGUGUGCUCAGCAGGUGUCUUUCCUUGCCGAUGAAUUCUCUCGUUUUAAUCAAGAUUUAAAGGAACAGAGAGAUUCUUUUUAAUUCGUGAAAUUCACAGAAUGAGCGCUGUUUCCGGUAUUUAUGUCUGAAAUGAGUUAUAACAAAAGCUAGGGCACCUAACUUGUUAAAAUCGAAAAAAGCACUUUGUUGUUAAAAUCGAAAAAAAGCACUUUCGCACUUUUUUUUUCGACUGCGAAGCACUUUCGCACUCAUAAUUUCCUUAGAGUUAACACUGCUUAGCAGCAUUGGUUGAUCUUUCUAAAUUUACAACCAUACCAAUCAACCAACCACUUAGUUGGUCAUAUU